AACGCGAAGAACCUUACCAGCCUUUGACAUGGCGGGACGGCACCGAGAGAUUGGUGUCUUCACUUCGGUGACCCGCGCACAGGUGCUGCAUGGCUGUCGUCAGCUCGUGUCGUGAGAUGUUGGGUUAAGUCCCGCAACGAGCGCAACCCACGUCCUCAGUUGCCAUCAUUCAGUUGGGCACUCUGGGGAGACUGCCGGUGAUAAGCCGCGAGGAAGGUGUGGAUGACGUCAAGUCCUCAUGGCCCUUACGGGCUGGGCUACACACGUGCUACAAUGGCGGUGACAGAGGGACGCGAACCCGCGAGGGCCAGCCAAUCUCAAAAAGCCGUCUCAGUUCGGAUUGCACUCUGCAACUCGAGUGCAUGAAGGCGGAAUCGCUAGUAAUCGUGGAUCAGCAUGCCACGGUGAAUACGUUCCCGGGUCUUGUACACACCG
rnacentral:rRNA from 1 species